AGAGUUUGAUCAUGGCUCAGAACGAACGCUGGCGGCAUGCCUAACACAUGCAAGUCGAACGAGACCUUCGGGUCUAGUGGCGCACGGGUGCGUAACGCGUGGGAAUCUGCCUUGGGUUCGGAAUAACAGUUAGAAAUGACUGCUAAUACCGGAUAAUGUCUUCGGACCAAAGAUUUAUCGCCCAGGGAUGAGCCCGCGUAGGAUUAGCUAGUUGGUGAGGUAAAGGCUCACCAAGGCGACGAUCCUUAGCUGGUCUGAGAGGAUGAUCAGCCACACUGGGACUGAGACACGGCCCAGACUCCUACGGGAGGCAGCAGUGGGGAAUAUUGGACAAUGGGCGAAAGCCUGAUCCAGCAAUGCCGCGUGAGUGAUGAAGGCCUUAGGGUUGUAAAGCUCUUUUACCCGGGAUGAUAAUGACAGUACCGGGAGAAUAAGCUCCGGCUAACUCCGUG
rnacentral:rRNA from 1 species